rnacentral:lncRNA from 1 species
UCCCCUAGUUCUUCUUUUAUGUUGUGCCAGUACGUACCACGGUGGCCAUCCAUUGUCCAGGCCCGUCCAUGCAUUGCAGGUACUCAUACUUCUCUUCUUCUUGAAUAGUUGCUCUUCUGGCAUCCACUGCUUUUCUCUGAUUUAACCCCUAUAAUUUUUCAUCUGCAGAUUUUUGUGUAUGUGACUAUAAAGUGUUUGAUGAAAAAACAAGCAGGGUAGGAAAAGAUUUAUUUCUGUUUAUGCUCUUUUGUGUAAUCAAUAUUUCUUUUUCUUCUGAUGGGUGGUUGGGGGUUUGUUUUGGGAUGUUUCAUUGAAUUUGAAAAGACUUUUCAUGCUUACUUGGAGGCACCAAGGUCAACUAAUUCUGAUCCUAGCAUAAGUAUACUCAAAGGGAGUAUUAAUUAGGUACAGUCUGUUUAGAACAUUGCACUGUGUUUUUGCUUUGCUAAUACUGAUGUGUAAGUCAAGAAUGUGCGAGUAUAUGGACCUUUCUCUUUUGAAUAAAGAGAUGUGUAAACAACAAACUGAUGCAUAAACGUACAAAUUUUGUUCACUAGAUACACUCCAUGUUCAACACAGAUGAUCAUCCUUGAUAUGACAAGGUCAACUAUUUUCCUAAUAAUUAGUGGUUAUUUCCUAUGAGGGAGCCUUUCUACAUCUCACAUAGCAGAUCUUCUUUGCAACUCUCUUGCUCUCUCAUAAGAAGCUAUACUUGCAAGGGCCUCAAAGAAAAAAGUCUGUAUUCAACAGACAGUAUUGAAGCAUCAUUUUCGAAUAUAAAUUGGUUUUGUUUAUACUCUGGAGAUAUUACCUCUUUCAACUCUUAUCAUAUGGCAGAGACUGAAUGAUCCUAACGGCAAGAUGUCGACAUAGUAUCCAGGUCUCAGUAUACACACUAAAAAAGAGCGGGUGAAUAGCUCCCAUGCGACGUCGUUGGUGUGAACUGUCUCUCAUGCGACGUAGUUGGUUGUAAUCGCUCUCAUGCGACAUCUUCGUUGGAAAAAAUAGCUCCCAUGCGACACUGCUGCCUAAUCCAAAGACACAUGUUUAAAACUCGAAUCAGGUGAGCGGGACCCACAGCAUGGGACCCACUAACUUAUCCAACUCAGCAUUGGUCAGGUGAGCGGGACCCACAGCGUGGGACCCACUAACUUAUCCAGGUCAGCAUUGGUACAAGAGGACACCGAACCGUGCCCCGAGCCGUGCAGCACCCGAGCCCAUCCUCCCCCCUCCCCCUCCCCGACCGUUGUUGUUCUUUUUCUCCGGCGACGACGCGCAGCAACGCCGUUCCGGGCCGCGACCUAGCAAUGUCGAGCUCCGCUUCAGCCUCCCGCCGCUCAUGGCCGCGCUAUGGCGCAGUGCCCAUGACAAGAUGCCCUGCAUGCCCACGUAUCGCACCCCUGAAGCGGCUAGUCACAACGACCGACAAGAAUGGCAACCUUGGGCGGGAAUUCGUGAAAUGCGAGAGCAAACCAGAGCAGGGAAAGGUGAGAUUUUACUUCUCAAUAUGCCAAUUUUGGUUUUUGUCUCCCAAUUUCAUAUUUGCCCAUUUUUCCCCAUCGGAUUUGGGAUUUAGGGUUCAUCUUUCCGAUUUCAGAAAUUGAAGCAAUGCACCCAUUUUGAGUGGCUAUAUGAGUACAUAGAGCGGAUUCAACUGGAGGGUGCAUCAGGGGAGCUCGAUUUACUGUUGGAGGCGGAGAAGUUGGGCAAGUUUGGAUCGGGCGCAUCUGGAUCCGGGGCCCCUGGAUCUGGCAAUUCCAUCGGGGGCGCCCGCCCUUCCAUUGGUGCUACUGUGGGGGAUGCAGGAGUGACGGCAGAGCUGAAGAAGCUGAACAAGCAGAUGAAGAAACUCAUCAAAUUGCAGAAGCAGGGCAAUUUGAUGGGGCUCAUGGCCGCACUUUUUUAUGUUUGUGUAAUUGGUCUCGCAUUUGUUUAUGUGAUGAUAAUUAGUCGUAAGUGAAUAGAUUGGGCAUCAUUUGUAAUCGGGAUGAUAUGUACAUUUGAAUAAAAGUGUUGCGCUGUAUGAAUUCAGCAUGUCCUCUCCACUCUGUUUCGGCCCCGUUUUUUAUUUCUUCAGUUCGUCAUCAGUUUCAGUUUCAGUGGUAGAGGGAGAAAAGGAAAAAAAGGUCCGUCCACAGUUGCCCGAAAAGGCCAGGCCCAUAUAGAAGUUAGGCAGGGCCGAAUAGAACAUAUCCAGGCCCAUUGAUAAAAGGAGUGCAAAAAAAGUGCACACGGUCAUUGACAUCGAUAUAUCUUUUCGGCUUUAGAUCAUUUCACAAAUUUUAAGUUUCCUGCAGUCACCUUUUUUGAGAUAACUCAUCUGAUAAUUAUUUGAGAUAUUUUUAUGCAUAAGCUAUUUGAGAUAAUUAUUUGAGCAGUCUUUGUGAACCAAAAAAGUUGCAAUUGUUUGGUUCUAGUUUAUUUCAACCAAGCACCAUUUCUUAAUAUAUUUUUUUACUUGUGCUAUGGUGUUUUCAAAGUUUUUACUCAUGUGUUUCAACCGAAAAAGGUUGUGCCCAAAAAAGAAGACAUCUAAUAUACCAGAUCAAUUGUUUUUUAGUACACAUGGCCACAUAAAUAAAAUGCAAUAGAGAAACUUUAGGACCGAAAAAACAUAUAGAUAGAUAGUGGGGCAUCGGGUACCCUAGUAGCAUAGAUAGAUAAAACAUAUAGAGGGGCAUCCCCCCACUACAUAUAGUUCAUAAAACAUGAAAGUAAAAUAAUUAAAACUAGAUAUAUAAAAGACACGGGCACACACGCCCGAACCAACACAAACACAAACUAGAGCCCCAAACUAGAUAGAUAGAAGACUCGCCCCUUGAACAACUCCUUGGCCCCUCCUCCUUGCCACUCCUUGGCCCCUCCUCCUUGGGCCCCUCACUCGUCAUCCUCCGGCAUCUGGUAGGGGAGGGUGUGCAUGCCGUUGGGGUGAGGGAAGAUGUGGUGGAAGUUGGUGAAGAUGUUGUAGGUCGUGAACGCGAUAAACUCGCAUCCACACCAGAACACCUGGCCGAGGAGGUGGUGAGCGUCGUAGGGGUUGGUGAAGGUGACGUGGAGGCCGAUGACGAGGCCGUUGGCGUUGCCAUCAUACUGCUCGUGGAGGUGGAACAUGGGCGGAGUGCCCGGAGGGAGGUGGCGGUAGCCGGCUUGGAGGAAGAAGCGAGCGAACUCUCUAGGGCCCCUCCACCUAGAGAUGGCCCACACCCUCAGGCUAUUCUCGACGACGACUCCGGCCGGGUACUGCCUCUCCGGCACGGUGGGAGGGCGACGGUAGGUAGGGCCGUUGAACUGCAUGGUGGCUCGAGUGGGAUUUGGCUCGAAAAGAAGAAGGGGAGGAGGCUUGAGAGAUGAGUGUGAGAGGAUGAGGAAAUGGUGCCCUUUUAUAGCCGCGUUGCAGCUGUGGUCAAUGUGUACACGGUGCCUUCUGGAUCGUUUUCUCUUCUCCGUUCGCACUGGCAUAAGUAAUUGCGGGCAUUAAUUCAAAAAACGGCGGCCAGAGCAUCCAAAGAGGCACGGGCAGCACAGGCUCGUUCAUCCGCGCGUGACACUGAAAAAGGAGCUGCACCACCGACGCGUCCGUCUCGUUCAAACAUGCAUUUGUUAAAAUAGCUUAGAUGCGACGUACCUAUACGCUGCGCCCCUGCCGUGCUUUACUGCGUCGAUGCGUGCAUGCAAUGGCGGGCUAGGUGUUCACGAGCAAAGAAUAGCUAGGCUGCGACGUUGCAUGGCAUGCAUGGGACAGGGAUGGCCCACAUGUCAUUGACCCUCUCGCAUGCAGCCCAUCCCCCUCUCGACGGCCGUGCGCACGCACGCCAGGCUCUGCCGGGCCCGAUCCGCUCGGCCCAACGGUCACUUAGAUGAUCCCCCGCUCAACGUUACCUGUUCGUCAGAGAGAAAAAACGGUGGCCAAUCAGAUUGGAGCCCACGGAUCGCCCCCACGGAAUCCUUCUAGAAGGCCUAUCCGACAGCCGCAGUUUGGCGUUAGGGUUAGAUCGACGGUGGACGUUUGGCGCUAGGGUUACAUGGGGUUUGGAGGCAGUCAAUGGGGUUUUGAAAGGUUUGACCGAACAUUCAAAUGUGUAUAACUAAUUCAAAAAAAAUCUAAAAAAUAAAAAACCUGCGCAUAUAGCCUUUUAUGUUACAUAGUUAUGAUAUAAAAUGAUAAACUUGAUCUAAUGAUCUUUGCUUGAAAAAACCUUCACAAAUUGGACUAUCUCGACUGAGGUUGCAUGGAGUUCACAGGAGUGAGAAGAGGGUUUGAGGUUUUGAAAAUGCAAAAAAAUCAAAAACAUCACCUUAGCUUCAUUUUAGAGUGACUAAGGAGGAUCUGAAGUUAUUUUUGCAUUUAAAAUUUUUAAACUUGUUUUAUUGCUAACUUUGUAUUAAAGGGUGUUUUUUCAAAAAUAAAUUAAAUAAUAUGAAUACUUAUUCAAAAAAAGGUGAGACUUCGUAUUGAUCCUAUAUAGGUAUAAUAUAAGCUAAGAAAAUCUUUUUUGGGUGAUUUUGAGAAGGUCGAAAAAAACUUGCUUAGAAAUGGGGCCGUUUUCCCUUACUUUGGAGCCUGUUUGGUCAACAUUGUCCGUGACUAUGAGUUGGAAUUCACAAAAAGGGUUGGAUUUAUGAACUAAAGUGCAUAGUAGUACAUAAAACGAUGCAACAUCACAGAACAAACAAAUGAACUCCAAAAAUAUUGAAGAUAGGUUCAAAUUUGAAUAUCGGUUCAAAUUUGAAUUUUAUUUCAAGUCAAAUCAACAUCAUAGCACAUAAGUUAUCACAUGAAAGAACAUAAGUUUUCACAUCAAAUGACAACAAACUUAAGUUUUCACAUCAAAUUUGAAUGUUUUCGACUCUAUUUCUUCUGCUUCUUUCUACCACUCGAUUUCUUCUGCUUUUUUCCACCGUUUGGUUCCACGGCGCAUAGUUUGUUGAUGCUGAUGCUCUUGCUUUUUGGCCCCCUCAACUUUUGCACCUGACCAUGUCUCACUUCUUCAGUUUGCACUUCUGCAGAUUGAGUAGAUGGCACACAUUGUUCAACUACUUCAGUUUGCAACUCAACACUUGGCAGCACAACCUCCAAACAUGGCAACACAGUUGUCAAAGCAGAUUCGAAUGGCAGCACAACAGUUGCUUCAUCUGCAACAGUUUCAGAUUGCCCUAGCGUCUGCAAAACAGAUUCAGUAUGCAUCACAUCGUCCAAAACACAAACACUUAGCUCAUGUUCAGCAGUAACCGUUUCAGUUAGCUCCAUAUCUUUGUCACCAAACAUUAUCUGCUUAGUGCUCUUCCUUCUAUAGCCACUGAGUCUUGCUUUUUUCACUGGCCAGCAUUGUUCAACAACAAGCGGUGGGGCUUUUUCUGCACGCUUCCUCCUAAAAAAUAAAGCAUUUGACUUGGUUAGAUACUAGAACAAGUAGCAAAAUCAAAAACUUGCAAAAACAGUAACAUAAACAUACUUUGGCCUCUGAGGAGUGUAGAUGCACUUGGAUGAACCAAUUCUGUGCCCAAGUACCUCACACAACUUGCACCUAUUUUUGUUACCUUUUUGAGCCCUUUUGGGCUUAUUAUUCUUUUCCUUUUCCUUUUCCCCCUUCUUACUACAACCACCUUUCUCAAACCAAGCUUUGAAUCUGCUCUGUUUAGGCCUCCCAGCCUUUCUUCUAGUGACAGGGGGACACAAGGUAAAUUCUAUUUCCACCUCAGGCCACUGAGAUUGGUCAGUCAGUGCAGGAAUUGGACUUGCAUAUGCAGCUUUGAAUUUUUGUACUGAAUAAUACUCAUGCAAAUAUGGGUGCAUAUUUAACCUGGGUUUAGAUGCCAAAAAAAGUAUGGAAUGCUCACAUGGUUUUCCAGUGUGUUGCCACUCUUGGCAAGUGCACUCAUGCAACUCAGUAUUUACCACAUGCCUCUUGCCACUCUUUGUAUCUCUAACUUCAGCACCCCACAAGGAAGAUUUCUCAACAGAUAGAUGUGAAAGAUUUCUACUCCUGUUGACCACCUGUUGUACCACUGCUGGAAGCUUGUCCCCUUCCAAAAUAUUAGCAAUUUUUCCUCUCAACUCCCACAAACGCAUGAUCAUGAUUCUUAUUUGGUCCACCAUGUCAUGCACAGGCAAGUCUUUCAAAUGCUUCACUUUGUUGUUAAAACUUUCUGCCAAGUUGUUGUUGAUAUGAUCACAUUUUAUGGCAGUAUUAAAACCUGAUCUAUACCACAACAAAGAAUGGUGGGUGUUCAACCAUGAAGCAAAUUCAUUAUCACUACAUGAUGCCAAUAUCUUACCAAGGUGAUAGGAAUGUGUCUGUCUGGUGUAGGAUCUUGCUGCUGGCCACAUGCGCCCAAAUUCAUCUCCUCUGAAUUUUUUUAUCAGAUUCAUCCACAUAUGUCCAAAGCACUCCCUCUGCUCAGCAUGGGGGAAAACACUUUUUACUGCAUUUUCCAACCCUUUACAUGCAUCUGUGUGGAUGGCCAAAGGAGAAACUGGCCCUAUGCAUCUUUUCAGUUGCAUCAUGAACCAUAUCCAUGAUGCCUCUGUCUCUGAUUGAAACAUUCCUAUUGCAAUUGGGAACAUCCAGUUGUGUCCAUCUAGAGCAUUGCAUGCAGCCAACUGACCAUUCCACUUUCCAGUCAAAAAAGAUGAGUCUAUGCUCAAAUAUGGACGACAACCUGCUUUGAAUCCAUCUAUGCAAGGCUUCAAACACAUAAAAAACUUGCUGAAUAAAACCUUGCCAUCCUCUGUUACCUCUGUAUCUAUCUCCACUACACUCCCAGGUGACCUCUUCUCCACCUCUGCUUUAAAACUAUACAACAUCCUAAAUGUAUUUGCCCAGUCACCAUACAAUGAUUUCAUGGCCCUUUGUUUUGCUUUCCACACUGUGGUAUAUUGCAGCUGGAUGGGGUACAACUUCUCCAAGUCAACUUUAAGCCUCUUUGCAGUAGUGUUUGGAGUCUUGGCUAAAAUAGGAGUAAUCUUCUCUGUAACCCAAAGCUGUGAUGCCAUCUUUGAAACUCUCUGUGAAGUGGUCAUACAUGUAUGCUGGUGUGGUAUUUGAUUUACCCUUACUGUACUUCCAUCAGGUUGUAGUCUGGCAGACAAGUACCAUUUGCAAGGAUUGCCACCACCAUCAUAACCUUUGCACCGAGCAUAAAAUUUCUUUCGAUCAGUCCACAUAGUCUUGGCAUCAAACUCUUUUUUCACUGCAUAGGUCCUGAAAGACAUCCUAAACUCCUUCAUGCUUGGCCACAACUUUCCCACCUCAAUAACUGGGUUCUCUUUGUCAUACAAACAAACCAGCUCAUUAUCAUCUGCAUCAUCCACAUCAUCUGCAGCCUCUCUCAUCAGGUGUUCUUCAUCCUCAUUUGCAUUUCUAGGGCCUGUGUUACCUUCAGCUGGCAAAGAACUGUCAUCCUUCUCCUUAUCUUUGUCAUCAACUUGAAUGCCAAACAUUUCGGCCAUAUCAAUGUCAGAUAUUGGUGUAAUGACCAAAUCUGUUUUUUCAUUCAACUCUACUGCAUUCCAGUCAACAACAAUCUUCCUAGCACCAUGGGUUCCCUCCUCUCCAUCUGCAUCAAUCCCAGUAUCUUCAGCUACUAUAGUCGGUUCAGUCAACAAUGCCAACAUCUUCUUUUGUGAAACCCACUCAUCAUCUUCCAUCUGUGCAGCCAUGUUUGAUGGCACAUAACCAACUCUGGAAUGAGUUUGCAGAUCAAUUAGCUCUGCAUAAAAUGUUACUUGUUUGCUUGCCCAUCCUCCUUGCUGAUCAAUUUCAGCAACCAUGGAUUCUCCAUCUUCAAUUCUCACAUAUUCACCAUUAUAGUUAUCGAAAUGUUGCAGAGAUACCUCUUGUUCUGGACCCCAAACAAUACUCUCCCCAAUUCUCUCCACCAAAUUGCCCACGGCCUUCUCCUUCAUGAUCUCCAAUUCCUGGGGAUCAACAUCUGCAAAAUCGACAUCCAACCUCACGGUGGUAUCUCUAUCAAUGUCUUGGACACUGCCAUCACUGAGCUUGGCUUUACAGGGAAAAAAUUCCACUAUAAUUGCGAAUGUGGUGGCAGAACCUGAACCUCCCCUGUUUUGUCAAUGGCAGGCAGCGGCGGCAGUCACUACCAAAUCGAGUUCGAUUCUAAAUCGCCAAGAAAAGAGGGUGCCAUUACCGAUUUGAAGCACUGUCUCCUCGGGGCAGCCCGUCUCCUCGCUCCAUCUCAUCUAGCCCUCGCUCCAUCUCCUAUCCAAUCAAGCAACAGGGGCAGCAUGAGGCCACAGAUUUAUUCAAAAUUCAGUGGAAUGGGAGUAGUGUUUGGAAAAUACUCACUCGCAAUAGCCGCUGCAGGGAUAGGCGCUCCACCACCGGGCCGCGGAGAAGAAACAACCCCCGGAUCCAAUGGAGCCCGAUUCUAAAUCGCCAAGAAACAGAGGGCAGCAUGAGGCCACAGAUCGGGGAGUGGGACUAGGGUUUCGGGCUCACCUCGCAAUAGCUCUGCCGCUGCCGAGAAAUGCGCUCCACCACCGCGGAGAAGAAACCACUGCCGGAGAAGAUGCUUACGGCGGCGCCGCUCGCCCAGUCCAGCACGGGCGAGUCGAGCAUGGUCACACAGUCGCCGGUCGAGUCGUGGACGGUUGACUCUUGACUACGUGGCCAUAGGUGGACCCCACCAGUCAGAGCACAUAACCCCCAGUGUCCUAACCAAAUCUCAGCCUAACGGACAGCCAACUAGCCGCGUAAAUGGUGUGUCGCAUGGGAGCUAUUUUUUCCAACGAAGAUGUCGCAUGCAAGCUAUUACAGCCAACGACGUCGCAUGAGAGACAGUUCACACCAACGAUGUCGCAUGGGAGCUAUUCACCCAAAAAAGAGCAGUUGUUUCCCACUCAUCUUUUCAACAACCGUAACUAUUUUUCAACUUUUUGAGUGACAUAGAAUUCUAUGUUCUGUUUGAUUCCUUGCAACCAACAAAAAGGAGUGGCUAACACUCUAUUGUUUGUUCUAUAUUUUUAUACUUGUUUUUCCUUCGGCUACCUCACACUAGAAAGGGGGAGAAGUGGGUAGCUAGCUUUCUUCAUACUUGCUUUUCCUUCGGCUACCUCACACUAGAAAGGGGGAGAAGUGGAUAGCUAGCUUUUUUCAAGUCCAGCAGAAUUUAUCAUUGAUCUAUGCAUGAUUAAACACUAAUUGCGGCAUUCAUUGUGUACUACUACAGUCUUAUUGUUGAGAUGGUUCUCUUACAUUGGUUGAACAAGCUGUGUAGUACUGAGUAAUGCUGAAUGGAACUAUCUAUUUCUUUUGCCGAUGGUGGAGGAAUUACUGAUCUCAAGUUGCCUGCAAGCUUCAUGGACUGCUCUGAGUUGAGUGCCAACUGCUAAGGUACUAUCCUAAUAUAUAUAAGAUUUCCCAUCGGAAACUUGAAAUCGUAGGGUAUACCAAACUGUUGCAUUAUGGCCAUUCGUUCAUUUUGUUUGCAUUAAUGUAUGAAGUCUUUUCUCUCGGUGUUGGAAGACAAACUGAAAAAUGUUCCCUCUAUUUACAGUUAUGUUCACUUUAGAUAUAUGAAAUCUUUGAUUUAUUUUGUCAAUGGUGUUCUUCAUCAGAUGUUGUUCUUAAAAGGUUGUUGAUUACACCUAGAAAGAUCCUCCUAUAAAAGUAGAGUUGCGCUCUUUCACGCACAUUACCCAUGGAUCUCAGUGGAUCUAGAUAGGCAACAUUUAGAUUGCGAAAAACAUAAUUUACCUGCUAUUCUUUCUGGCCGACAAUAAUCUUCCCGGCAAUUAAUAUAUAUAUGAUUCUUGGGCUCAUCACAAGAUUAUAGUGGGCAUGUGCAUUUUCUGCAAGGGAAGAUCAUAGAACACAUGUAACUUGGUUCUAUCUGAAACAAAGAAACUAUACACUAGAUAAAAUGAUUAGUCUCUGAAGGGUUAAGCUUAUUUUUGGUUAAUCUACUGCUUCAAGUUUGCUUCAUCAAAUGAUGCCUUUUUUAGCCAUUUUAAUAUUUUACGUUAUGGCAUUCCAUGAUAGUGUGCCCACUUAUUCUGUAGCCACCCUUUCUGAUGACCAAAUCAUGAUAUUACUUUGUUUUUCCUUUUGAUAUGUGUGUGAAUUUUCCCAGCACUAAACAACAAUGCCAUGAAUACAACAUAAGAUAUGACAGUAAGGUUUGCUUACCCUUGGUGAUCAUCCAAGAGUUGAUGUUUUAUCUCUGAAUUGGGAACAAUAGUUUAACUAAAUGAAUAAGAUGCUUAUGCAAAGGCGGUUCUUAUAAACAAAUAUUAUAGUAUGAUUAUUUAUUUUGUGCACCUGCAAGAUGCUAUUACUUGUCCUAUAGGAUUGAUAGGGAUAAUAAUCUUACUCGGAUCUGGACUAUAACAUUUUUGGUUUCAGGUAUGUAGAAUUAUGGCUUUAGGUUGUAACCUGGGUGGUCAGUAGAUUAGAUUUCGCGGAGCUUUUCAAAUCUGUUCAAACAUCUCAGUGGAUCAGAUUUAUGUAUUUAUUGUAUCAUCGUCCUUUUAAAAGGAAAUGUACCAUUUUUCGUUUAAGUUUAUUGACCAAGGUUGUCAAAGUAGUAAACUCAGCCACUGUGGCAUGAUCAACUUCUAUGAGCAACUUCUUUAUACUGGGCAAAUCAAAUGUAGGUCCAAGUGGCUUCGUGACAGGGUUUGGAAACACUGCUUGUGGGUGACCAUGGGAUGCCCGUAGGAGAGACAAAUAAACAUAGCAUACAGAGAAAUAAUUGAUUCAUCACAAGUACAUGCAAUCUUUCUUUGGUCAUACAUGCAGUUUAAGUUUGGUUGGCAGACCAUUUUACUCAAUUUAAUUAUCUUAUUUUCAUUUGAGAACAUCUUAAUGUUCUCGCUUUGUACUGGUAAAGGAAGGCAAGUGUCGGAAUUCUGGUUACAUUGAUGUUUUUGCCGUCAGUACAACAUUGCCAUGUACUGAUAUAUAUGGGGUAAUAAGCUUCAGUGUAUGAAGCUAUUGUUAACUUCUGCUCCCAUCAUGCACGGCGUUAUCCUUUGAUGUAUAGCUGCACUUAUUAGCAAUGUGUGUCACCUGUUAGCGAUGUACACAGUGAUUUCUGCAAUUCUUACGGGAG